AGCAGCCGCGGUAAUUCCAGCUCCAAUAGCGUAUAUUAAAGUUGUUGCAGUUAAAAAGCUCGUAGUUGAAUUUCGGGAUCAAUACGUCUGUCGUGCCUUUGGUACGUACGGGUGUAAUUGGUUUCUACCUUCUGAGGAUCCUUGAUGUCAUUAAUUUGGUGUCUUGGGGAAUCAGGACUGUUACCUUGAAAAAAUUAGAGUGUUUAAAGCAGGCAUACGCUUGAAUACAUUAGCAUGGAAUAAUGAAAUAGGACGUUCGAUUCUAUUUUGUUGGUUUCUAGGAUCGACGUAAUGAUUAAUAGGGAUAGUUGGGGGCAUUAGUAUUCAAUUGUCAGAGGUGAAAUUCUUGGAUUUAUUGAAGACUAACUACUGCGAAAGCAUUUGCCAAGGAUGUUUUCAUUAAUCAAGAACGAAAGUUAGGGGGUCGAAGACGAUCAGAUACCGUCGUAGUCUUAACCAUAAACUAUGCCGACUAGGGAUCGGAUGAUGUUAAUUUUUUAAUGACUCAUUCGGCGCCUUA
rnacentral:sRNA from 1 species